rnacentral:rRNA from 1 species
UACGUAGGGUGCGAGCGUUGUCCGGAAUUAUUGGGCGUAAAGGGCUCGUAGGCGGUUUGUCGCGUCUGCCGUGAAAACCCGAGGCUCAACCUCGGGCCUGCAGUGGGUACGGGCAGACUAGAGUGCGGUAGGGGAGAAUGGAAUUCCUGGUGUAGCGGUGGAAUGCGCAGAUAUCAGGAGGAACACCGAUGGCGAAGGCAGUUCUCUGGGCCGUUACUGACGCUGAGGAGCGAAAGCGUGGGGAGCGAACAGG